AGAGUUGAUCCUGGCUCAGGAUUAACGCUGGCGGCAUGCCUAAUACAUGCAAGUCGAAUGGGGAGCGUUGCUUCCCAUGGCGAACGGGUGAGUAUACGUAGGUAACCGUACCUUUAGGACGAGGAUAACCUUGGAAACGAAGGAUAAUACUGGAUAGUAUAGGAUUUCCGCAUGGAGAUAUAUUUAAAGAUUUAUCACCUAGAGAGGGGCCUGCGGUGCAUUAGCUAGUUGGCGGGAUAAAAGCCCACCAAGGCGAUGAUGCAUAGCCGGACUGAGAGGUUGUACGGCCACAAUGGAACUGAGAACGGUCCAUACUCCUACGGGAGGCAGCAGUAGGGAAUUUUCGGCAAUGGGCGGAAGCCUGACCGAGCAAAUGCCGCGUGAAUGAUGAAGUAUUUCGGUAUGUAAAGUUCUUUAUCUAGGAAGAAAAACAAAUUGACGGUACUAGAUGAAUAAGCUCCGGCUAACUACGUGCCAGCCGCUGC
rnacentral:rRNA from 1 species